CCCUUUGCAGAAUUAGAAUAAGCUGCUGGAGAGAACCCUCCAAAAAAAAAUCUAAGAAAAAGAAAUCUAAGCCCAGCCUCACACACUGUAAAUCCUAGACAAUGAAGAAGCGAGGCAUGAUAUAGGAGGAAUUAUCUCAGCUAUGUAUUACCUAUCACCUCCAGGUAUUCUGCAUAUGUCUCCAUGAAAGGACAUCAGUGUUGCAAAGACCUGCCUUCUGGAAUCCAGCAUCACCAUUGCCUGAAUCCCUGCUGGCUGCCAGCUCCUGGGGUCCUCUGCUGCCCAAGCUCUCUUAUGAUCAUCAGGGGAGACAGGGGUGCAGCAGCCAGGGAGGAGCAAGAGAGUUAUUUGAGAUGAUAUGUGUAGCCACCUUCUGGGCAGGCAACUCCCAAAGUGUGAGCAACAGCAAGCUGGACAAAAAGGCUCUGGCUUCAGGGAUAAAUACAACUACACCUGGUAUCUUCCAUGGCCUGGAGACACAGGAGAGCCAGGGACAAAUUCAUUCUGUGCUGUAGAUUAAAACAACAACAGCCCACUUGAAUAAGGACACUAAAAAUAAAGUUUCAUCAGCUGUAUAUGUUCUGAGAGGGCAAGUAUACAAAGAGAAGUUUGUUGAGCAAACAGAACAAGACAAUAAUUUAAGUGCCAUGUUCCUCUUAACAAUUAAUUGAUGCUAAGA